GGGCAGGGGAGAGGGAGAGAGCGGGGCAAAGAGAAGCAGAGAGAGUGCUGUGGAGGGAGAGAAUUGCAAAGUGUGUGAGGAAAGUAGUGCGAUCGUCUCUUGGUAGGGUUUGUUCAUGCUGUUCAUGCUUCAGACCUUACUUGAAACUUGAAAUUCAUAGAAAAUGAAGGGUAGAGAGAGAGAGAGAGAGAGAGAGAGAGAGAGAGUGCUAUGGAGGGAGAGAAUUGCAGAGUGUGCGAGAGGAAAGUAGUGCGAUCGUCUCUUCUAUUUUCUCCCUUGGUAGGGUUUGUUCAUUCUGUUCAUGCUUCAGACCUUACUUGAAACUUGAAAUUAAUAGAAAAUGAAGGGUAGACACAGAGAGAGAGAGAGAGAGAGAGAGAGAGAGAGAGAACCAACGAAUUUGAAAGUCCGUUUUCGAAGACGUGAAUCAGAUUCAGUGAAGCAGUACUUGGAUGCAAGAUCUACCGAAAGCGUGGAUCGAAGUCCAGGGAGAGAGAGAGAGGAAAUCAAAGAAUUUGCAAGUCCGUUUUCGAAGAUGUGAAUCGAUUCAGUGAAACAGUAAUUGGAUACAAGGUCUACCGACGACGUGGAUCGAAGUCCUCGUCCAGGGAAUUGCUUUAUCUAGGUAAUGGAACCACAUUCUUAAUUCAUCGAAUCCAAGAAAGUAAUGCGAUCGUCGGUUUUCUUUUUGGUAUCCCUCGGGAGGUUUAGUUCAUGCUUCAGAUCUUACUUGAAACUUGAAAUUGGGUAGAGAAAGGGAGAGAGGAAAGUAAUGCGAUCGUUAGCUUUUUGUUUUUUUUGUUUUUUUUUCCUCCCUCGGUAGCCAGGGUUAGUUUAUGUUUCAGAAACUUGAAAUUCAUAGGAAUGAGUGGAUUCACAUGUCGCAUCCAACGCAGAGGAGGAACUCUUGUUACUUGAUAGGGUUUGAUCUAUUUUCUGAAGGAGAAAAGAUCCUCGAAUGGUUGGCUCACUCUUGCAUCUGUGAAAGUUGCAAUUCAGUUGAAAUGACGAGGAUUACAUGUCGCAGUGCAGGACGGAAACGGAUCGGAACGAGGUCUUGCAGGAAAUCGUUCAAGAAACUUGGGGAAACGCUUCAGCCACCGACCACCGUCCACCGUUGCUGGUCUCAGCUGAACUAGAAAAACUGUCCGAUGGAGUGAUACGAUUCAACAAUGAAUGGUGAAGGUAUACAUAGAGAUCGCAGAGAACUGGAAACCCAAGCUUGGGUUUGAUCUAUUUUUUGGGAGGCUAAAUGAGGCUUGGAUGGUUGCUGGCUCUUUCAUCUAUUAUAGUUGCAACCCAUUGUAGGUUAUUUUAUCAUAUUUAGAACAAAUCUGGCUUCUCCGUUUGCUAGAUGGACCUGAAAAUGCUUGUACUUGAUGAGGCUGCCCACUUAUUAGAUUUAGGAUUUCGGAAAGAUAUAGAGAAGCUUGUUGAUUGUAUACCACGUCAAAGGCAGUCCUUGCUGUUUUCUGUUACUCUUCCAAAAGAGGUUAAUUUGUUGAAUUCCCCUUUCAGGUUUGCCACAUUUCACAGCUUCUUUUGAUAAGGGAACAUUUUUUUAUUGAUACGGUGGGUUUUUGGUGGUGUGGAAACUCAUGACGAGGUAUGAGUCUUCAAUACCGAUACUUGGUCGUGUGGAAACUCAUAACAAGGUGAAGGUUGUUAUUCAUAUUCACUAGAGAUGAUGUGGAUUACAUGUCGCAGUGCACGGUGGAAUCUUCUUUUCUUCCUUGAUCUCAUUGAAUGGCAUGAGGACAUUGUUGGUCAAUCUUGAUUGUGAUAACUUAAAACCAGAGGGGUGGGAUGGAUUGGCAGAUGAGGAGCCUAUACUUUCUUCUUUUUCUGAUAUCAGUAUUAAUGAGUUGCACGUAAGAAACUUCAGGUUAAUCUUUUACCCCUUCUUUUUUAUUAUUUAUUUUGUUUUUCUAUGUCUAAUAUACUAUAGUGUUUAACGUACUAACAAACUGCUGCAAAUUGUUCAAUACUCAAUCUAUUUUACCACAUUUUAGAUGUUGAAAACAUAACCACCAUGGUUACCUUUCCAAUUAAGUUAUGGGCUUGGGAGUGGCAAACAUUGCUUCUACUCACUCUGACUUUUCUCAGUUUAUUCUUAUACAUGAUUACAACUUGAUAUACGUACAAGAUGGAUCUUCCACAUAGCAAAUAAUGUUUGAGUAUCAUUUGAGAAAUCCUUGCUGUUACCCUAUUCCAAACCCUGCUUAGGAUACUUUUGUUGAUUAAAUGUUCUCAAAUCCUAAAACCUGAUUUUAGUGGUGAUCCUUUUGAUUGCAUUCAGUUGAAGAUUACUUUUAGCUUUCUAUUCCUAUUUAUAUACAUUGU